CCCUUAGAUGUUCUGGGCCGCACACGCGCUACACUGAAGGAGGCAGCGUGUACUCCUGGAUCGAAAGCUUUGGGUAACCCGCGAAUCUCCUUCGUGCUAGGGAUUGAGGUUUGCAAUUAUCCUUCAUGAACGAGGAAUUCCCAGUAAGUGCAAGUCAUAAGCUUGCGCUGACUACGUCCCUGCCCUUUGUACACACCGCCCGUCGCUACUACCGAUUGAAUGAUUUAGUGAGGACUUCGGACUGGGACCGAUGCGGCUUUCGGGCUGCGUCGGUAUUCUGGAAAGAUGUCCAAACUGUAUCAUUUAGAGGAAGUAAAANUCGUAACA
rnacentral:rRNA from 1 species